rnacentral:rRNA from 1 species
GUGUCAGCAGCCGCGGUAAUACGGGGGGGGCAAGCGUUGUUCGGAAUUACUGGGCGUAAAGGGCUCGUAGGUGGCCAACUAAGUCAGACGUGAAAUCCCUCAGCUUAACUGGGGAACUGCGUCUGAUACUGGAUGGCUUGAGUUUGGGAGAGGGAUGCGGAAUUCCAGGUGUAGCGGUGAAAUGCGUAGAUAUCUGGAGGAACACCUGCGGCGAAGGCGGGUUGCUGGGCCGACACUGACGCUGAUGCGCGAAAGCCAGGGGAGCGAACGGGAUUAGAUACCCCGGUAGUCCUGGCCUUAAACGAUGGAUGCUUGGUGUCUGGGGUUUUAUAGUCCCCGGGUGCCGCAGCUAACGCGUUAAGCAUCCCGCCUGGGGAGUACGGUCGCAAGACUGAAACUCAAAUGAAUUGACGG